GCACGGGACUUUGACUCCCGCAUGCGUUGGUUCGAAUCCAGCCGCCCCAGCCA
rnacentral:tRNA from 1 species